rnacentral:misc_RNA from 1 species
UGUGGGAGCGGGCUUGCUCGCGAGAGUCUCAGCGCGGUGGUUCAGACCAGCCGCGUUAACUGAAUCGCGAGCAAGCCCGCUCCCACA